rnacentral:rRNA from 1 species
UACGUAGGGUGCAAGCGUUAAUCGGAAUUACUGGGCGUAAAGCGUGCGCAGGCGGUUUUGUAAGUCUGUCGUGAAAGCCCCGGGCUCAACCUGGGAAUUGCGAUGGAGACUGCAAGGCUUGAAUCUGGCAGAGGGGGGUAGAAUUCCACGUGUAGCAGUGAAAUGCGUAGAGAUGUGGAGGAACACCGAUGGCGAAGGCAGCCCCCUGGGUUAACACUGACGCUCAUGCACGAAAGCGUGGGGAGCAAACAGG